UUUUAUGGAGAGUUUGAUCCUGGCUCAGGAUGAACGCUGGCGGCGUGCCUAAUACAUGCAAGUCGAGCGAACGGACGAGAAGCUUGCUUCUCUGAUGUUAGCGGCGGACGGGUGAGUAACACGUGGAUAACCUACCUAUAAGACUGGGAUAACUUCGGGAAACCGAAGAUAAUACCGGAUGAUAGUUUGAACCGCAUGGUUCAAAAGUGAAAGACGGUCUUGCUGUCAUUUAUAGAUGGAUCCGCG
rnacentral:rRNA from 1 species